rnacentral:misc_RNA from 1 species
GAUGAAGAACGUAGCGAAAUGCGAUAAGUAAUGUGAAUUGCAGAAUUCAGUGAAUCAUCGAAUCUUUGAACGCACAUUGCGCCCGCCAGCAUUCUGGCGGGCAUGCCUGUCCGAGCGUCAUUUCAACCCUCAGGGUCCCUCCGCCUCGCGCGGUCGGAGCCUGGUGUUGGGGAUCGGCCCGCCCCGCGCGGCGCCGUCCCCCAAAUACAGUGGCGGUCCCGCCGCAGCCUCCCCUGCGCAGUAGUUAUCAACUCGCACUGGAGCGCGGCGCGGCCACGCCGUAAAACCCCCCAACUUUACCAAGGUUGACCUCGGAUCAGGUAGGAAUACCCGCUGAACUUAAGCAUAUCAAUAAGCGGAGGA